GUUCUUUGCUUCUCAGGCUUUCUGGGAAACCCCAUGCCAUUUAGGUGAGGAUCUCUUCUGCCAGCAGCUGCACUUCCCACCACUUCCUGGAGGAGCUCCAGGCUGAGCCCAGCACCAAACGCGGCUUGUGCAGUGCCCUUCACCAAACCUCACCGCCCACGGGGGAGAUGCCCUGGGAUCCAUACGCCGGGUGUAUGAAGUAGGGCAAGGCCUAGUCCUCAUCUUUGUUUCCCUGAAUCUGCCCAUCUGGUACCAACCAGUUU